rnacentral:rRNA from 1 species
UACGGAGGUGGCAAGCGUUAUCCGGAAUUAUUGGGCGUAAAGCGCGCGCAGGCGGUUUUUUAAGUCUGAUGUGAAAGCACACGGCUCAACCUUGGAAAGUCAUUGGAAACUGGAAGACUAGAGUGCAGAAGAGGAAGGUGGAAUUCCAUGUGUAGCGGUGAAAUGCGCAGAGAUAUGGAGGAACACCAGUGGCGAAGGCGCCUUUCUGGUCUGUAACUGACGCUCAUGUGCGAAAGCGUGGGGAUCAAA